GACGAACGCUGGCGGCGUGCUUAACACAUGCAAGUCGAACGGAAAGGCCCUGCUUUUGUGGGGUGCUCGAGUGGCGAACGGGUGAGUAACACGUGAGUAACCUGCCCUUGACUUUGGGAUAACUUCAGGAAACUGGGGCUAAUACCGGAUAGGAGCUCCUGCUGCAUGGUGGGGGUUGGAAAGUUUCGGCGGUUGGGGAUGGACUCGCGGCUUAUCAGCUUGUUGGUGGGGUAGUGGCUUACCAAGGCUUUGACGGGUAGCCGGCCUGAGAGGGUGACCGGCCCACAUUGGACCUGGAUUCCGGCCCGGCCUCCUCCGGGGGGCAGCGGGGGGAAAUAUUGCACAUGGGCCGGAGGCCUAAUGCAGAACCGCGGCUGGCGGGAGACGGCCCUUCGGGUGUAAACCGCUUUCGCCUGUGACGAAGCGUGAGUGACGGUAAUGGGUAAAGAAGCACCGGCUAACUACGUG
rnacentral:rRNA from 1 species